CCUACGGGGGGCAGCAGUGGGGAAUAUUGGACAAUGGGGGGAACCCUGAUCCAGCCAUGCCGCGUGUGUGAAGAAGGCCCUCGGGUUGUAAAGCACUUUCAGUGAGGAAGAAUGCCUGGUGGUUAAUACCCAUCAGGAAAGACAUCACUCACAGAAGAAGCACCGGCUAACUCCGUGCCAGCAGCCGCGGUAAUACGGAGGGUGCGAGCGUUAAUCGGAAUUACUGGGCGUAAAGCGCGCGUAGGUGGCUUGAUAAGCCGGUUGUGAAAGCCCCGGGCUCAACCUGGGAACGGCAUCCGGAACUGUCAAGCUAGAGUGCAGGAGAGGAAGGUAGAAUUCCCGGUGUAGCGGUGAAAUGCGUAGAGAUCGGGAGGAAUACCAGUGGCGAAGGCGGCCUUCUGGACUGACACUGACACUGAGGUGCGAAAGCGUGGGUAGCAAACAGGAUUAGAUACCCCAGUAGUC
rnacentral:rRNA from 1 species